UUCUGUGACUCAGUCUAUAUCGGAAACUUGGAUACAUAUGAUGGCUUGUUUUGAAGUUGGAGACAUUUGAACAUAUGUGGUUACAUUUUUUUGGUACAAAGUGAGAUUCAUUCCUCUGUAAAUUUGCAUACCUGAAAAAUUCUUACCAUUUUGUUAAAAAUUCUCUUUUUUUUACACUAUAAGUUCUUUGAAAAUUUAAUACUUGGAAUAACACCUCAUCCAGGAGGUUAGGGACGGAUGAACAUUUCAGUCAAAGGAGCCAUGGGAUUAGGGCACUUUUAAAAAAUUCCCUUUUCAUAUUGAAUGAGGAAAAAAAUGUGGUGAAUAUUUGACCACCUCAGAUAAAAAAAGUCUGUCGUUGAAUGAUUCAUAUAAGCUAGAUAUACACUUUCUCACAUGACAUGCCAGUCAUGAAUAUAGGAACUUGCAUAACAAAAUGAGGUCAAUUAUCUG
rnacentral:lncRNA from 1 species